rfam:Musa acuminata subsp. malaccensis Doubled-haploid Pahang (DH-Pahang) genomic chromosome, chr6
GGGAUGUGAUGAGUGGUAAAAGCUCGCGCUGUUUGCGUGAAGAGCAGCCGCCCAGAGCCUGUUACGACAACAGGGCCUGCUCCCAUCUUUACCCUUCUGAUCCC